UACAGAGGUCUCAAGCGUUGUUCGGAUUCAUUGGGCGUAAAGGGUGCGUAGGCGGCGCGGUAAGUCGGGUGUGAAAUCUCGGAGCUUAACUCCGAAACUGCAUUCGAUACUGCCGUGCUUGAGGACUGGAGAGGAGACUGGAAUUCCUGGUGUAGCGGUGAAAUGCGCAGAUAUCAGGAGGAACACCGGUGGCGAAGGCGGGUCUCUGGGCCGAUACUGACGCUGAGGAGCGAAAGCGUGGGGAGCAAACAGG
rnacentral:rRNA from 1 species